ensembl:lncRNA
AUUUUUGCGACUUUGGAGCCCUCUACAGUUAAAUGAGUGGAACUCAAUGUCGUAAUUACAGUUUAUGCGUGCAUUUGUUACUGCCGUAAAGCAAUCCGUCAUUUUGGCGGUUCCCGCUCACCACAUUCUCCUGAGAGAGAUGUUUGGGAAACAAACAGAAGAUAAAAGACAUUCGCCUUUUUUGAAGUCAGUGUACCAUCGGAAUGACUCUGAAACUGAUAUUUCAAGGUAUCCAGGACGAGGGCUUUGGGAGCAUGUGCUGCGGGACGGGCUGCGCUGGCAUGCACAGACACUCACUGAAGAAGGGGGUGGGACACUUUUCACUUGGACCAAUAAGAAACCACAUAGUAACGUCCUGGCAACCACUCACAACAUGGCAACCGGUUUUGCCCAGCUCCGCUCAGAGGUGCAGAAAGCAGUGACACGCCACAUAAACAGCCAGAAACUGUGA